UGAACUCCUGGAUCUGAUCAAAGGACUCAAAGGCAUACACGUUGUCACACAGCCAUUCAAUGAUCUAAGAGGCAGGAUGGAAACACACAGGGGACAGGAGUCAGUGUGCUCUAGGUUUGGGUCGUUUCCCAUGUAAACCAGGAGCCAGUGAAGGGCAGCCAGGCGCUGAGGGUCAGCCUUACUGCUGGGACACCUUGGACGGAGUGUGUGUGCAAUGACCUAUAGGAAUGAAAAGCGGAUGGAGGUAUGCGGCUUUCUGUGGCGACUGGUCGCUGCCCAGGGAUACUCUGAACGUCUUUCUGCAGUCUGCAGGAGGGAACAGCUGCUGACACACACCUGCUUGUCGAAUGUGUACAGGAGCUGUCGGAGAGAAUAUACAGACACAUGGGAAUGGGUCGUGCAGGAACACACGUGCACAAAAGCGAAAUCUGCAGCACUAAAGGGAAAGAGACAUGGGAUUGACACACAGUACCUUGUUCUGUUUGGUGUUGGAGUCAUAUUUCCCAAUUCUGGUGGUCCCUGUUGCCCCCUAUCAAAAUAGCAUGGUCAUUAAAUCAAUCAUACUACAGAGAUAGAAAAUCUGUCCUGACCGAGUAAACCUUUUUUCCCCACUGGUGUCUUCCACCACAUUGGUAUGUGUGGAACUUCAUGCUUGACCUCUUCAUUACCUUGGCUGACCUUGCUGAUUAUCCUGACCUGACAUGCUUCACUUCAGACCAGCGAAUCACCACUUUUUCAGGUUCAGAAGAUUUCAAAUAAAAGGAAGAAGUCUACUCUGGCACAAAAAUCCAAGGCACAGCGAGGAAUACAUAAAGCUGUGAACCAUGCACAAAAAAGAGAUUAUUUCCUCUAUGCAGGCUGCACACUAUCUUUAACCUACUAAACCCAAAGACUCUUUGGCGGGUCUAUCAUUAAAAAGGUAUGUUGUGCAGAGAAGCACGGUUCAGCACACAGAACUUUAUUUUAAAUUCUAACAAGGCUCCCAAUGUUUCUUAAAAUAUGUUAAGCAGAUUUAUAGAGAAAUCUGUAUAAAAGAAUAUUGUUGUUUUUUUUUUUAUUUUGGUGGUGUACAUUUGAUGAUCAAUGGUGGAGAAAAUGGCAUCUGGGAUUUGAAUAUUUCAAUCCCUGUGACUUCAGUGGACUGGGACAAUCUGACACAGAAUAGUUGGCAAACAGUAUGCAUACUGUAUAAUGUUAUAUCUAACAUACACUAAGCUACUUAAGCCCCUCCCUCAAGAUAAAAAGUAAACUUCUAUAAAAAAAAAAGUAUAAAAAAUACGUGGUUUAAGUGCAACAAAAAAGACAAGACAAUGCACAUGACAUGGCAAUGACAGUAAAAAGAAGUAAGACCAAUGCAGGUUGUACCAUAACUAAACUGUAAAGAUCACUGGAUUGAUAAGGAUUAGAAUAAUAACACUCACUUAAUGAGUGCAUUUCAGUAAUAGGAAAUGCUUAAUAGGCAUUGCCGUCACUAUGGACUUACAGUACCUUCCAGGAGUAAAGGAUGCCCCCAUCUCUUUCAAUGUUGAGGAUACAAGUGUCCACUGCUCCAGAGUAUUCUGCAGACACAGCAUCAUUAUUUUGAACCAUACAUCUAAUUAUGUUUAAACAACAGUGUGCACUGUCAAACACGUUUUAGUAUCCCUGCCACUGCUCAUGCUGAAACAUAUUCCAUGGUAUGCUAAAUGAGAAUAUAGUGUGUUUCCACUGUAUAAUAACAUAUUAUUACACAUGUAAAGUGCCCCAGAUGUGUAGGUGAAAUAUUUGCCCAGAAUCUGUAAAUGUGCUGCUUAAUGAGUCAUAAUGGGAUGCUGAUGCAUUACUUGUAUAACCACGUACUGUCAACCAUUAUUUCUUAUGUUACAGUAAACUUUUGAUUGCUUAGUAACAUUAACAUUAACGUUUAUUUGAAAGUAUUGCCAUAAUAUUUGGA